rnacentral:rRNA from 1 species
GGGCCCGCACAAGCGGUGGAGUAUGUGGUUUAAUUCGAUGCAACGCGAAGAACCUUACCAGGGUUUGACAUCCUGCGAAUCUCUUGGAAACGAGAGAGUGCCUUCGGGAGCGCAGUGACAGGUGGUGCAUGGCUGUCGUCAGCUCGUGUCGUGAGAUGUUGGGUUAAGUCCCGCAACGAGCGCAACCCACGUCUUUAGUUGCCAGCAUUUAGUUGGGCACUCUAACGGGACUGCCGGUGCAAACCGCGAGGAAGGUGGGGAUGACGUCAAAUCAUCAUGCCCCUUACAUCCUGGGCUACACACGUACUACAAUGCUACGGACAAAGGGCAGCAAGUUCGCGAGGACAAGCAAAUCCCAUAAACCGUGGCUCAGUUCAGAUCGUAGGCUGCAACUCGCCUACGUGAAGGAGGAAUCGCUAGUAAUCGCAGGU